CCACAAAAUCCACCCAUUUUCUCCCUCUUAACCCUCCUUCCUUCACGGAUUUGACCAUCGAAAAACACAAAAAAUCUUAAUCAUCUAAAACAGAGGGGGGUUUUCAUAUAGCUAAUGAAAGCAUUUUCUUAUUCGGCUGUAUCAAGCUUCUUUGUUCGUGGGAGUCCAGCCACCAUUUCAGCGGUGGAAACUUCGUCUCAUCCCAAUUGCUGUCCCGAAAAAGAUCCAGGAAAGCAAAGUACUAGUCUUGAUAGAGCAAGGAAGUGACCACCAAGUUGAUGAAACAAUCAAUUCAGCUUGCAAAAUUGUCUUCCCAACAUCUUAAAGACACAAUACUGUAUGGUGAUGGUUGGUAUGAAUCUCUGCUUCCGCUUUCUGACGUCUUUAACACCCCUUAACAGAAUGUGGCCAAUUUAUGUAAUUAACUUGUCAAUUCAGUAGAUUAGAUGUUCAUAUUUAGUUUACUCUUCAAUUAGUCCUGAGAGUUAUUGUAUAGUUUUAGUAUCCCUUAAUUUAUAUUUGUGAUGAUUUUUUUUUUGGUGAAAUAAUCAUAAGGUACUUAUA